AGCAGCCGCGGUAAUUCCAGCUCCAAUAGCGUAUAUUAAAGUUGUUGCAGUUAAAAAGCUCGUAGUUGAAUUUCGGGAUCAAUUAGUUGGUCAUGCCGUUGGUAUGUACUGAUUUUAUUGAUUUCUCACCUUCUAAAGAACCUUAAUGUCAUUAAUUUGAUGUUUUGGGGAAUUAGGACUGUUACCUUGAAAAAAUUAGAGUGUUUAAAGCAGGCUCACGCUUGAAUACAUUAGCAUGGAAUAAUGAAAUAGGACAUCCGAUUCUAUUUUGUUGGUUUCUAGGAUCGAUGUAAUGAUUAAUAGGGAUAGUUGGGGGCAUUAGUAUUCAAUUGUCAGAGGUGAAAUUCUUGGAUUUAUUGAAGACUAACUACUGCGAAAGCAUUUGCCAUGGAUGUUUU
rnacentral:rRNA from 1 species